AUACUUACCUAGGUGGGGUAAAUUUGUGAUCUGGAAGGUCAAUGACAUAGGAAUGCUACCUCCAUUGCACUUGGGAGGGGCGUCUCCCAAGCAUCUCCCACCAAGGAGAGUGCAUGUCAUAAUUUGUUGCAGCAAAUGCUCGUGUUAGU
rnacentral:snRNA from 1 species